rnacentral:rRNA from 1 species
UACAGAGGUGGCAAGCGUUGUUCGGAAUUACUGGGCGUAAAGGGCGCGUAGGCGGUCCGGUAAGUCCUGUGUGAAAUCCCUCGGCUCAACUGAGGAACUGCACGGGAGACUGCCGGGCUUGAGUUCGGGAGAGGGAAGCGGAAUUCCUGGUGUAGCGGUGAAAUGCGUAGAUAUCAGGAGGAACACCGGUGGCGAAGGCGGCUUUCUGGACAGAUACCGACGCUGAGGCACGAAAGCUAGGGGAGCAAACAGG